rnacentral:rRNA from 1 species
UACGUAGGUGGCAAGCGUUGUCCGGAUUUACUGGGCGUAAAGAGCGCGCAGGCGGUCGAGUAAGUCGAAUGUGAAAGCCCCCGGCUUAACUGGGGAGGGUCAUUCGAUACUGUUCGACUUGAAGGCAGGAGAGGGCAGCAGAAUUCCCGGUGUAGUGGUGAAAUGCGUAGAUAUUUGCUAGAACACCAGUGGCGAAGGCGGCCAACUGGACCAUAACUGACGCUGAGGUGCGAAAGCGUGGGGAGCAAACGGG